CGCCUCUUGAAAUUACAUAAGAGGUCCAGCCUGCCCAGUGACUAAGUUCAACGGCCGCGGUAUCCUAACCGUGCGAAGGUAGCGUAAUCACUUGUUCUUUAAAUGAGGACUAGUAUGAAUGGCACCACGAGGGUUAUGCUGUCUCCUUUUUCUAAUCAAUGAAACUGAUCUCCCCGUGAAGAAGCGGGGGUAUAUUUAUAAGACGAGAAGACCCUAUGGAGCUUUAAACCAUGUAACACUGGCUUUCACAUUAAAAUAUUCCAGAAUUUUCAUAAUUACUCUAGCCACUAUGAUUACUAGUUUUAGGUUGGGGUGACCGCGGAGCAAAAAUUAACCUCCAUGUUGAACGGAGCUACUCCUGAGCCUAAAGCAACGACUUUAAGCACUAAUAAAUUAACAUUAAUUGACCCAAUAUUUUUGAUCAACGAACCAAGUUACCCUAGGGAUAACAGCGCA
rnacentral:rRNA from 1 species